rnacentral:rRNA from 1 species
UACGUAGGGUGCGAGCGUUGUCCGGAAUUAUUGGGCGUAAAGGGCUCGUAGGCGGUUUGUCGCGUCGGGAGUGAAAACCUCGGGCUUAACUCGGGGCUUGCUUUCGAUACGGGCAGACUAGAGGCAUGCAGGGGAGAACGGAAUUCCUGGUGUAGCGGUGAAAUGCGCAGAUAUCAGGAGGAACACCGGUGGCGAAGGCGGUUCUCUGGGCAUGUCCUGACGCUGAGGAGCGAAAGUGUGGGGAGCGGACAGG